UAGUCUACGCCGUAAACGAUGGAUACUAGUUGUUUGAUCUUCGGUAUUGAGUGACUAAGCGAAAGUGAUAAGUAUCCCACCUGGGGAGUACGUUCGCAAGAAUGAAACUCAAAGGAAUUGGCGGGGGCCCGCUACAAGCGGUGGAGCAUGUGGUUUAAUUCGAUGAUACGCGAGGAACCUUACCAGGGCUUAAAUGUAGUCUGACAGCUUUAGAGAUAGAGUUUUCUUCGGACAGAUUACAAGGUGCUGCAUGGUUGUCGUCAGCUCGUGCCGUGAGGUGUCAGGUUAAGUCCUAUUAACGAGCGCAACCCCUGUUGUUAGUUGCCAGCGAGUAAUGUCGGGAACUCUAGCAAGACUGCCGGUGCAAACCGCGAGGAGGGUGGGGAUGACGUCAAAUUCAUCACGGCCCUUACGUCCUGGGCUACACACGUGCUACAAUGGUAGGUACAGGAGUAGCAGCCACGUACGCGAGUAGGAGCGAAUCUAUAAACCUAUCACAGUUCGG
rnacentral:rRNA from 1 species